UAAAGAUAAUGUCCAAUUUAUUUGUUUCAGCUCUGUUAUUAAAAAAGAAAGCAGAAGUCGUAUGAACAUUCCUUUUAGAAUAGGUGGACCUGGUGGCAAUGAUGAGUUAGAAAAGAAAUUCUUAGAUCUUGCAAAAGCCCAUAAUAUGCUUUCUUUGAAAGGUCACAGGUCUGUUGGUGGAAUACGGAUUUCACUUUUCAAUGCUGUAACACUGGAUGAAACUAAGCAAUUAGUUGAAGUGUUAAAGAAAUUUUUAAAAGACUAUCAGUCUUAAAAAAAUAUUAAAAAAUUCAAUAUAUAGCAUUAUGUUUAAAUCUAAGAAUUAUUUUAUUUUAAUAGUUCUCUAAAACAUCUAAAAUUUUAUAUUUUUAUGCAUAAUUUCAAUUUUUAUAUAUGUAUUUACAGCUUUACUCUUAUGAUCAGAACUUAUUUUUUGCUUUGUAUGCAUUCCAUUUAUAUUCAGAGAUUUAAGAAGAGUAUUUUCUGAUACUUUUCCUCUGAAGUUAUUCAUCAUUUUCUUCAGAAACUAAAUUUUUUAGUCAUACACUUAUGAAAAAAAUUUAAUCCUCAUUAUAAGGUGCACAAUUUUAUCACAAUUAAAAAAAAAGAAUGAAAAAAAUUAUACAGAAUUAAAUCAAGGUAAAAUUAAGGAUGUAUUGUUAUAAAAUAUAUCUAUUGUUCCAAGUAAAUCAUUGUUACUGGUUAUAUGAAGAAUUUAUAUGAACUGCCUGCAGUUUCACUUGAAAGCUUUCUUCCCCAAAUUCUUGCUAUUAAAUAAAAAUAUUUCAUUUUC